CUCAAAACAUAAGAUAAGUCACAGAGUUUCUCUGAGGCUAGCAUUGUCACAUUGACCCAUGCACGUAGCUCUAAAUUGGUGAGUGGUCCCAGACAUUAAACAACUAACUGAACCUUGAGUGGUCAAGAUACGUGCAGAAAGGGAGAGA